CAGGCAGAAGACUUGAGGCAACCUAGUGUAUCGGACUGCAGCAGGGGCAGAUCAUUACAUGCUGGUGUGAACAGGGCCUAAGGAUCUCUGCUAGAAGGUGUGGCUGGCCAGCGGCAGCACACCUGUGAGCAAUCCACUUCCAGGCUGUGCUUAUAAGGAGCUGCAAGAUGAUCAUUCAACGCCUGAUGGCUGAAGAAACUCUCCGUUCUCUGAAGUCUGGCUGAAAGAUUCCGGAAAUCACCUCAACAACUGUUAUCCUCUAAAGGUUCCUGAACUCCAAUUCUCCCUGCCUGCCCGCUCUCCACCAGCGGCUAAGAGUGUGGAGCGGC